rnacentral:tRNA from 2 species
GGGGCCUUAGCUCAGCUGGGAGAGCGCCUGCUUUGCAAGCAGGAGGUCAUCGGUUCGAUCCCGAUAGGCUCCACC